UUCCUUCGGGGGAUCAGCAGUCUAGAAAACAGCACAAAGGGCGCAAGCCUGAUGCACGACGCCGCGUGCGGGAUGAAGUCUUUCGGGAUGUAAACCGCUGACAGGGGGGACGAUGGCAUUUGCAGCUAAUAUCUGCAGAUGUUGACGGUACCCCCAAAGGAAGCACCGGCUAACUACGUGCCAGCAGCCGCGGUAAUACGUAGGGUGCAAGCGUUGCCCGGAUUCACUGGGCGUAAAGGGGGCGUAGGCGGAUCCGCAAGUCGAUUGUGAAAUCUCCGGGCUCAACCCGGAAACUGCGGUCGAUACUGCAGAUCUAGAGGACAGAAGAGGAGAGCGGAACUCCUGGUGUAGCGGUAAAAUGCGUGGAUAUCAGGAGGAACGCCUAUGGCGAAAGCAGCUCUCUGGAAUGUUCCUGACGCUGAAGCACGAAAGCUAAGGUAGCAAACCGGAUUAGAUACCCGGGUAGUCUUAGCCGUAAACAAUGUACACUAGGUAUUGGCAAUGGUCAGUGCCGCAGCUAACGCGAUAAGUUACCGCCUGGACUACCACCGCAACGCUAAAACUCAAUGAAUUUUGACGGAU
rnacentral:rRNA from 1 species